GACGAACGCUGGCGGCGUGCCUAAUACAUGCAAGUCGAGCGAAUCAAAGGGAGCUUGCUCCCUUUGGUUAGCGGCGGACGGGUGAGUAACACGUGGGCAACCUGUCUGUAAGACUGGGAUAACUUCGGGAAACCGGAGCUAAUACCGGAUAAUUCCUUUCCUCCCAUGAGGAAAGGCUGAAAGACGGUUUACGCUGUCACUUACAGAUGGGCCCGCGGCGCAUUAGCUAGUUGGUGAGGUAACGGCUCACCAAGGCAACGAUGCGUAGCCGACCUGAGAGGGUGAUCGGCCACACUGGGACUGAGACACGGCCCAGACUCCUACGGGAGGCAGCAGUAGGGAAUCUUCCGCAAUGGACGAAAGUCUGACGGAGCAACGCCGCGUGAGUGAUGAAGGUUUUCGGAUCGUAAAACUCUGUUGUUAGGGAAGAACAAGUAUGAGAGUAACCGCUCGUACCUUGACGGUACCUAACCAGAAAGCCACGGCUAACUACGUGCCAGCCGCCGCCGUAAAAC
rnacentral:rRNA from 1 species